UAGUUGAAAUGUCGUCGUUAAAGAAAAAUGACUUAAAUAACGAUAGCGUCUUCUCAUAGCCUCUGAUUGAGUCAAUGUCUCCAACUGCAAGAUUGUUCCACGUACUCUGUGCGGAAGCAUAUCAUAGCUCCCAUAAUGGUGUAGAAGACACUUCAUGUUUAGAGGGUGAAGAAUGAGGUGCUGACCAUCAACAGCCUGGUAGAAAUUGUAUGAGGCAUUGUCCUUAACAUCUCUUUUCUGCAAAUUCUUGCUUCCAUCGUACGAGGAUGAUAAAAUUGCAUUUUCGCCCUCUGGUGAUGCAACCAAAUCCAAUUUCACAUUGUCAUACUGCUUAUUUUCAUCAUUGAUAUCAACAGAUUGUGUUGAAUAUCUAGAAGUAGCAUCUUCAUGAUAAGCACAAUUAGCAUUUGUGGUUAACAAAAACUCUUGAGAUUGUUUUCGACUGUUGGAACAUUUAUCAUUUCCACUAUUGUCACAUACUUGCUGCUCAUUCCAAUACUUCUUCCUCUGUUUUAAUUGUUCCAUUGCUGCACAAACAUAUGGAAGCUUCUCCAAGUCAUCCACAAGUCCUGAAUCAGCUCUAGCUAACCAACCAUCCAAAUCUGAUAUUGCUUGUCUCACUGACAGUUCUACAUCGGAAGUAAAUGUAAACUUUGAGAAGGGAUCAGAAACCCCAUCAUUGCAACUCAGCAUGGUAUCAAUCUCCAGCUUAUUUUUCUGAGAUGGAGUGGAUGAAUCCUUUUGCCGAGUUAGAAGCAUGAACUCUAUGGUAUCACCAACACAGUACUGCUUAACAUUCUCAAUAAAGAGGGUGUACAAAUCCUUUUGAGAUNNNNNNNNCAAAACAUAAAGGGCAUCUUUUAAAGCAAUCACCUUUGUGAUCCUCCUUGCCCAUUAGCAAAUACUGAAGAAUGCAGGGGAAACAAAAUAUGUGUCCACAUGAAGUUAUCUGUGGGCAUAAAGGAUAUUCCAAACAAAUAGGACACUGCACUGGACACGAGGUUGCAUAACUCACACAGAUUAUAUCCUCCCACCUAAGCAUUUUAUCAGGAUCCAUCAAUUCAGGUGCAUAAUUCCCUGUAUCUAACACAACAAACUUGUAAUUAGCCUGAAGGAAUAAAUCCUUGUUGUACGGUUUUAUCUUCUGCUGCCGUCGUGGAGGGGGGGCUCUUGAGUGAGGACGAAUAAUGGGGUCAUAGUGAAAAUUCAAUAAAUGGUUAGCGUUCAUCAUCUGGGCUCUUCUUCCUGAUGAAUGUGCACUGCCUCCUUGACUAUUGAUAGGACUAUUACUUUGUUGAACUUGAGGUGAGCCAACAGUCCCUGAUAUUUUCCCUUUGGGCUGAGCAGAUCCAACCCCUUGACCACCAAGGUGAGACUGCGCAUGUGUCUCACCAUUUUGCUGAGGCAAACUUCUCUUCCCAUUUGAUGUCCUUAAUUCAUUCACCUUUUUGGAAGAUCCACCAGA
rnacentral:misc_RNA from 1 species